GGCAGCCGCGGACGCUCGUCGGGUUAUCCUCGUUGCCCUCGCGAGCGCGGAGGCAGGCGCCACGAAUUCACUUCUCGCAACUUCGGCUCCGCUCGGUCAGUUCCGACUGCCAGCCAGAAGAAUUCGUUAGUAUUCGCCGCGCUGCCUUGCCGGCAAGUUCUGUUCGAAGCAAGGUGAUUCGAAGACCGCCAGACGAGCGUUUUCCGAACGCGAUGUUCGUCUGAAAGAUUACUCGCGUAGAGAAAGUCGUGGUGGUGAUCGGAAGGGAGAAGGGUGGAAGCUUGGAGGACCAUCGAUGAGAUUUCCAAGGGAGAACGGUCCUGAGACUUUAUCGGCGUACACGGAGGAACGUUGCGAAGCGCAUUGGCUAGGUGGACCGUUUCGAAUCGCUUGGAAUCCGCGCGAAUUCGCGCGCCCGAACCGCGAGCCGCCACUAGUUCAAGAUUCCCUCGUCGCAGUGGGCCAAGUUCUCUAUCAAAACAUGGCCACGUGACCGACGGCGCGACUUGUAAACAGUGAGUUUGACCACGUGGUCUCCCCCCCUCUCGCCUGCGUCCGUCUCUGUCGAUGUCGUUCGCGUGCUCCGUUUCCCUCUCGCUCGCGCGCAACACGCAGAACAACGUACAUCGUAUUCCCGGUCGUUCCGUUGCCAGUUGCGGGAGAGUUCGAUUCGAGUGAUCCGCGAUACUCCGCUUUUCCUCGUGAUCAUCCCACGUCUCGAUUUAUCGCGAGUGUGGUCACGCAACCGUAUGCACUGCGAGCCCGGCUGGCGAAACAAGAAAAAAACGGAGUGGCGGUAGCGAAAGAGUGACCCCGGUUCUGGUUUCAACUCGUUAAUACCCGACCAGUGUUGUUAACCCGUCGGUAGUGACAGUGUUGGCCAUACCGUGACCGCUCCGCAAGUUCUAUCGACUAGUCUAGUCGACGGUUCGCCAUCCGCGAUAUCUGCCGGACCGUUCGGUGCCCGCGGCCAAAGUGGAGUACACGGACGAAACGAACAGGAUGGACCCGGUGUCGGUCUCGGCGUCGGGGUCGAAGACCGGGUUGCAACCACAGCAGGGGGUACCAUACGACCUUGAGACCGGGUUCGAGCCACAGUCCCGUGCUCGAUCGCACACGUGGCCUCUGCCCAGACCCGAGGAAUACAUCGAGGGCAACGUGGUACCCAGUGUGCAGGCCAAAGAGGGCGUCGAAGGUGUCGAAAGUGGCACGCCGUCGCAGCAUCGCUCUCUCGGACAAGGUACCGGACUGCUUCCGGUCAAGAAAAAUUCGUCCAGACGUAACGCGUGGGGUAAUCAUAGUUACGCAGAUCUCAUCACUCAGGCCAUCACUAGCGCUCCGGAGGAACGAUUAACGCUCUCACAGAUCUAUGAAUGGAUGAUGCAGAACAUCCCCUAUUUCAGGGAGAAAGGGGAGAGCAACAGCAGCGCUGGAUGGAAGAACUCCAUCAGACACAACUUGUCGUUGCACAGUAGAUUCAUGCGUGUACAGAACGAAGGUACCGGCAAGAGUUCUUGGUGGAUGAUCAACCGGGACGCGAAACCUGGCAAGUCGUCGCGCAGGAGGGCAAUCACGAUGGAAACCAGCAAAUUCGACAAACGACGUAGACAGGUGAGAAAGAAGAUCGAAGCUCUAAAAAAUGGCGGUCUACAGCCUGACGCGACACCUAGCCCGAGCAAUAGCGUGAACGAGGGAUUAGAUCUCUUCCCAGAUAGUCCUCUUCAACCCGGCAGUGGGUUCCAGCUCUCACCUGAUUUCCGUCCCCGAGCUUCGAGCAAUGCGUCAUCCGGUGGUCGGUUAAGUCCCAUUCCGUCGAUCCCUGGCAAACCGGAGUGGACACCGACCUACACACCUUCUUACAAUCUGGAACAAUUAGCCGGCAGCCUUGCGGAAGCAAUGAAAUUGGAAUCGUAUCAGAUGUACCAAACGUCUCCACCGAAUCAUCAGCAACAAACAGGUCCACCACCUUCCUAUUACGAGACCCAGUACCAGAGGAGCAAUAGCCUUACCACAGGGUCGUCCUCGUUCGUAAUGCAGCCCACUACUCAAUCAGCGAAUCAGCAGAGAUGCUCGAUUCACGGUUUGCAACCGUGCGCCUGUCAAAUGAAUUUGAGCCCAGUAGCAGGAAUGUCGCCAUCAUACCAGCAAAGCGAACCCAGUCCCACAGCGUUGGGCAACAGUCAGCAGCAGACCCUCCAAUACAUAAUGCAAACGCAACAGCAAUCGCAGCAGCAGCAACAGCAACAGCAGCAGCAGCAACAACAGCAACAGCCACAAACGGGAGCAACGGGAUCCAGUCCACCUCAUACACCCACACCAUGCGAACCCACGCCCAGUACGAUGAUGGGACAGUUAAUGGGCGCUCUGAACAAUUCCACGCUGCUCGAUGAUUUGAACAUCAACAUCGAAUCGUUGCAUGGAGGAUUUGACUGCAAUGUUGAAGAAGUGAUCAAACACGAGCUGUCGAUGGACGGAACGUUGGACUUCAACUUCCAGCAGGGCGUGAUGAGCACAGCGGCGAUUCAAGUGAGCGACAGCAACGUAGGACAAAAUGGCGGCGUGUCGCAGAACAACGUGGUGGUCGGAACGACGGCUGGAAACGCACCCGCAGGAGUUUACGUAAGCAGCAACGCGGCGACUCCUGCUGCACCUCCCUCGUGGGUUCACUAACUCAUGGAACCCCAUCGCCCUCGACACACCCGUAGUCCUUGCCAUCGACGUCUUUUGACGGACACGAUUAUUUCUGCGCACCGUCCGAGGGACAGCUCAUCGGUGUCCCAUGGGUCGAGGACGAGCGGGAUCGUCGAGUACUUGUGAUAAGGUGUAGGAAUAAUUAUACCGGACCACGACCACGAUACGUACCGUACCACCAAACGUACUUCAAUGCCGAUCUACGUGCAACCGUGGGGCCAGGCACCAUGAUCUUAACGUUUCACGGUCAGCCAUUGUUUCGUUGAACAGAUGCAAAACCUCAGUGAGAUCUCAAUCUGUUCAAACGCUGAAAUUGGACAUUCGAGAUCAUGCUUCUAUAUAAAAGUCCGCGAGUUGAUUUUGUCGCAUUUUCGGAGUUCCCUCGGUACAAGGGUACUCGACUAACCGUUAGAAUUAUUUAUUUUACGUUUAGAAGUGUCCGUGAAUUCGUUGACAUUUGGUACGGAGGCGCUUGUAAGGACUAUACAACAAAAAACGGAAAGUUCCUGCUCGUUUUUUGUUCUUGUGACAAUCGCAAAUGCUCAGGCGUGGUCCAACGGCGGAGUCCACUUCGUUUCUUUUCCCCACGAGCUCAUGCCUCCCUCUCGGCCAUUUAUUUUGAAGAAAUAACGCGGAGUACGUUUGUGCGGUAGCGUGACUGCGCAUGCGCCGUGGAUCGCGCAUGCGCGCGACGCGGAAAAUGGCGGACCGCGCAUGGGCCGAUGAAAGGACGAUGACUCGCCGACAAAUGUUUCGUCGUGCGUACACGAUCUCUGUUCUCUAUAAAAGUAACCUCAUGUGCUUCUCGGCGCACACUAUACAUAUAUAAAUAAAUAUAGAUAUAAAUAUAUUAUAAAUAAAUGAAUAUAUGUAUUCACAGGCACACACACAUACACGGACACGUACACAGACACAUAGAUAUGCGAAGGAUAUACACUAUUAUACUGUAUAUGUAACUAGAAAUAUUUACGAAGAGAAAUUGUUCGCGAAUGUCGCUGCAAGUUCUGUUACGGUAUACAUGUAUGAUAUUAAAUAUAUAACUGCGUAUGUAUAGCGUGUAUCAUACAUGUAUAUGAUAUUAUAUAUGGAUAAGAAAUAUUUAGUAUAUUCUAUAGAAUAUUGUACGUUCGCUAAUGUUAUGUAUAGUAUACAAAGAAGAAAUAUUGCGUAUAUAUGUGUAUGUAUGUAUACAGAUGUACAUACAUAUAUAUAAAUGAUUAUGUGUAUAAUAAUAUAUAGAUAAAACGAGUACAUAGGUUAUGUAUAGGAUAAGCUUAGGUACAAUUUAACGUAAGCAAGCUGCUAGAGGUAGACUUGGAAAUGGAAGAAGUUUUAGUCACAUGGUUAAGCCGCAGUUGACGUGAUGACGAAAUGCUCAUUCUGCGUGGCUUCUUUUCAAAUCGUCGCGUCGUUUCGUGAACGUAGGCGACACGUUGGUGCUUUUCGAUAGGUGAACGUUUCUUUCUUGUUCUCUUGCGUUUCCUGUUGGCGGUACACCUUAGGUCGGCGGUGGGCAACCGAGCUGCCCAGGGCAAAUUUCCAAUGUUCUUCUCCUUUAAAUUAUCAAGUUUUCGAUAUUCGAUAUUUUCAAAUCCAACAUUUUCCGAAUUUUUAACUUACAAAA